CGGGGUGUAGCUCAGUGGUAGAGCGCUCGUUUCGCAUGUGGGAGGCCCCGGGUUCGAACCCCGGCACCUCCA
rnacentral:tRNA from 2 species